UACAGAGGGGGCAAGCGUUGUUCGGAAUUACUGGGCGUAAAGGGCGCGUAGGCGGCCUGUUAAGUCGAACGUGAAAUCCCCGGGCUCAACCCGGGAACUGCGUCCGAUACUGGCAGGCUUGAAUCCGGGAGAGGGAUGCGGAAUUCCUGGUGUAGCGGUGAAAUGCGCAGAUAUCAGGAGGAACACCGGUGGCGAAGGCGGCUUUCUGGUCUGUAACUGACGCUGAGGCGCGAAAGCGUGGGGAGCAAACAGG
rnacentral:rRNA from 1 species